CCAGAGAACUUUCCAGAGAUGGAUUGGUGCCUUCGGGAACUCUGAGACAGGUGCUGCAUGGCUGUCGUCAGCUCGUGUUGUGAAAUGUUGGGUUAAGUCCCGCAACGAGCGCAACCCUUAUCCUUUGUUGCCAGCGGUUAGGCCGGGAACUCAAAGGAGACUGCCAGUGAUAAACUGGAGGAAGGUGGGGAUGACGUCAAGUCAUCAUGGCCCUUACGAGUAGGGCUACACACGUGCUACAAUGGCGCAUACAAGAGAAGCGACCUCGCGAGAGCAAGCGGACCUCAUAAAGUGCGUCGUAGUCCGGAUUGGAGUCUGCAACUCGACUCCAUGAAGUCGGAAUCGCUAGUAAUCGUGGAUCAGAAUGCCACGGUGAAUACGUUCCCGGGCCUUGUACACACCGCCCGUCACACCAUGGGAGUGGGUUGCAAAAGAAGUAGGUAGCUUAACCUUCGGGAGGGCGCUUACCACUUUGUGAUUCAUGACUGGGGUGAAGUCGUAACAAGGUAGGCGUAGUGCU
rnacentral:rRNA from 1 species